rnacentral:tRNA from 1 species
GGGGAUGUAGCUCAUAUGGUAGAGCGCUCGCUUUGCAUGCGAGGGGUAUAGGGAUUAAUACCCCAUAUCUCCG